UACGUAGGGUGCGAGCGUUGUCCGGAAUUACUGGGCGUAAAGAGCUCGUAGGUGGUUUGUCGCGUUGUCCGUGAAAACUCACAACUCAAUUGUGGGCGUGCGGGCGAUACGGGCAGACUGGAGUACUGCAGGGGGGAGACUGGAAUUCCUGGUGUAGCGGUGGAAUGCGCAGAUAUCAGGAGGAACACCGGUGGCGAAGGCGGGUCUCUGGGCAGUAACUGACGCUGAGGAGCGAAAGCGUGGGGAGCGAACAGG
rnacentral:rRNA from 1 species